GAUGAACGCUGGCGGCGUGCCUAAUACAUGCAAGUCGAGCGAACGGACGAGAAGCUUGCUUCGCUGAUGUUAGCGGCGGACGGGUGAGUAACACGUGGAUAACCUACCUAGAAGACUGGGAUAACUUCGGGAAACCUGAGCUAAUACCGGAUAAUAUUUUGAACCGCAUGGUUCAAAAGUGAAAGACGGUCUUGCUGUCACUUAUACAUGGAUCCGCGCUGCAUUAGCUAGUUGGUAAGGUAACGGCUUACCAAGGCAACGAUGCAUAGCCGACCUGAGAGGGUGAUCGGCCACACUGGAACUGAGACACGGUCCAGACUCCUACGGGAGGCAGCAGUAGGGAAUAUUCCGCAAUGGGCGAAAGCCUGACGGAGCAACGCCGCGUGAGUGAUGAAGGUCUUCGGAUCGUAAAACUCUGUUAUUAGGGAAGAACAUAUGUGUAAGUAACUGUGCACAUCUUGACGGUACCUACUCAGAAAGCCACGGCUAACUACGUG
rnacentral:rRNA from 1 species